rnacentral:sRNA from 1 species
AGAUGGCGGUAGCUGGGGCGGUGUCCGGGGAGCCGCUGGUGAACUGGUGCACCCAGCAGUUGCGGAAGACUUUCGGCCUGGAUGUCAGCGAGGAGAUCAUUCAGUGAGAACAGUUCGGGUCCAAGCGGGGAAGGAGCUCUGGGAUGUGCACUGCCUGAGCGAACCGGGAAGCGGGGAGGACUGAAAAUAGAGACAGGGUUUCACCAUGUUAGCCAGGAUGGUCUCCAUCUCCGGACCUGGUGAUCCACCCACCUCAGCCUCCCAAAGUGCUGGGAUUACAGGUAUGUUUUGUCAAUUGAGAGUGCUGAAGAGAUACGAGAAUAUGUUACUGAUCUCCUCCAGGGAAAUGAAGGCAAAAAAGG